GCUCUCAGUUGGUAGAGCAAGAGGCUCUCCAUUUCAGGGUUGUGGGUUCGAGCCCCACAUUGGGCA